CAACUCGUCGCCUUCGUGUUUCGCCCGACCGCGAAUUCGUAUCUGCGUCAACUUUUCCAAACGCAUUUUGUUUUUAUCUUUUCUGUUUCGCUGCGCGGUCGCAGAUGCGCUGCGCGAGCAGACAGACGUCACUAAAGUUCUUGGUUUUAUUUGACCGUGGCGGCGGACUUCGGGGUUUUAUUUCGCGAUUGUCGUCUGAUUUCGCCCUGGUAGCCAAACAACACGGUUUGGAUCCCGCCUAGGGCUCUUGGGGGGGAUAUGUCCGUGGGGGGGGGGGGUCUCCGGUAGCAUUUGCCGGGGUUCUCCUCGGUACCUAACGGUCCCGGGGUGGAGGGGUCACUCAUACCAAAACAUUGCGUCAAUGAUGAUAUCCGUCCGAUGUGCAUUAUUCAAAGCUAAUUCCACCACAACGCCUGUCUACCUCGAAGGGAAGUGGUCAUAUCUCUGAUCGUAGGGCCAGAGGGCUGUAGUCCCAGCCUCCUGGAGGUGUCUACAGCAGGCUGUAGUCCCAGCCGCCUGGAGGUGUCUACUCGAGUCUUGGUGUUUACCUGUGGUGCUCAAGCACAGGUUCAAUGGACGUGGAGAAUGGGUGCAUGUUUACGUCUGUUGAUCCGAGUGAUGCGCCCCCCUGUAGUCAGAGACCGUUAGCUGAGCUGCUCGUCCAAUACAGUAGGAUCUCAUACUAGAUCUACGGGCUGUUUACCUAGGACCUCCGCAUCAGGGCUGGAACUCAUACCAGUGGUAAAGGCUGUGUUCCUUCUUAAAGGAAUUGUAGUUUGAAAAAUGUCACGCAGUGAUCAAGCCAAGAAGAAAUCUUUGUUAUGUUUGUAACUGUGUUGAUUGUAAGUGUAAACUAGAAGCUCCCUCGUCGUCGACGGUUGAGGCUGGCCUUCAUGUUCAGGGCUUUCAACACAGGAUAACCUGUUUUUACAUACAGUGACACAAUGAAAAUGCACUUUUCCUGUUGCUCUUGUGUUGCUUGUUUGUUUUUUGUUGUUCGCUUCGCCUUCCAGAGUCUCGGUUGUAAUUGCGAUCACAGCCUGAUGAAUAAUGUAAAGGUAGUACUUUUGGCAAACCCCUACUGACUAACAUUACAGUUCGACCGGCAGCUGGCAGCGUUGUGGUGUAACUGAUUUCAUUUCCUUAGGAGUGUUGUCUCUGUAUGCAAGGCAGCGUUUCCCAACCGCAGAGUCGCCUGGUUGCGUAUAGGGUCGCUGGAAGAUUUCUGACUUUUGAAAUAUUUGACUGUCAUGGUGGAUAUUUAAUUAAAAAACCUGGAUGAGUUAAGACGGGAGAGUCAGGACAGGGAACAGCAGUUCAUGGAAGACAAGAAAAAGAAGAAAGAGGAUAAAAAGAAAAGGGACUCCUCUCAGAAGGUGCCAGACCCAAAAAUAAAAGAACUCCCAGCAUGCACUGCUGUGCCCCGGGGGACCUGGGUCGUAGGGAUCCUGAAACGGGCCCUCUGGGACAUUGAAACAGUGCCAGAAGCAGCCAAGCCCUCCACCAUCCAGUCGCCCUCCACCCCGGGCCCCGCCCCCCCCACCUCCUCCCCCGGCGCCGGUCCUGGUGCGUCCCUGCCUGCUCCCGACGGCGGGAACAAUGUUAAGCAGCGGGCUGCUGUGGCCACCGGACAGCCCUCCUCCGCCUCCUCUAACUCCUCCUCCUCCUCCUCCUCCUCUUCUGGGAGCCAGGCGACGGCGACGGCCCAGCGAUACAUCCCCCGCGAGGUGCCCCCGCGCUUCCGCUGCCAGCAGGACCACAAAGUGCUACUGAAGAGGGGCCAGCCGCCCCUGUCCUCCAUGCUGCUGGGGGGCGGCUCAGGGGGAGGAGGCGCUACUCCUCCUCCGCUCUCCUCUCAGUCGGGAGAAACCCCCCCAACAGCUGGACCCAUAGAUCUGAACACCGGUUCAUCCUACUCCUCCUCGCCAUCCAUCGCUGCUGCUGCUUCUUCUACUACUUCGUCUUAUGCAAAUUCCACUUGGGGGGCAGGCUCUGGCAGCCAACCCCCCUCUCAGGGCUGGGAGAAGGUGAUCGUGGACGGGACUGACCUGGAGGCGUGGCCGAGCAUCCUGGGCGGGGCCAAGCCGGGGUCGGGCGGGGCGGGGGGCGGGGCAAGCAGGGAACCGGAUCAUGCGCCUAACAGCAGUGCCUCAUGGAACGAGAGGAACGUUCAGCAGAAGGGAGGGGCUGAGGUCGGGGGUGGCGACCGCCCCUCCUCGCCUCACUCCUCCUCACCCCCAUCUCCCCCUCCCCCCUCAUCGUCAUCGCUCGCUGAAUGUGCGGGAGGCUCCCCGUGGGGCUCCUCCCCUUCGGAGUCCGGGACAGGAAGUGAUGCGCUUUACAACUCCAACAUGUCCCAUCUGGGCCCAGGCUCUCAGAAGAGCCCCGGAGGCAGCUGUAGUAGUGGCGGUGGUGGGGGGCAGGCCACGGGCCCGGGCUUCAGCCCCAGCACCAACCCCUCCGCCUGGCCCGCCCUGGGGCCGGAGCAGACCCAGGGCCCCGGAGAGGGUCUCCGCCUGUCCACCAGCCCUCUCCCUCCGUCCUCUGGGAGCCAGCCAGGCCUCCAGCAGCAGCAAGCUGAGGGGCCGGGGGCGGGGGUCACCGGGGGUGGGGAGCCCUGGGGCGGGGCCGAGCGGGGCCCUCAGCGGGGGGCGGGCACCGGCGCGACGGGGCCAGGACCAAAUCAAGGAGGCGGUGGAGAUGGGGGCGCCAAUCGAUCGGGCUCCUCCUCCUCGUCCUCCUCCUCCUCGUGGCGGGCCAUGCCUCCGACCUCCUCCUCCUCCUCCUCGGAGGUCACCGUGGGAGCCUCCCCGGGCGACGGCUGGGGGGGCGGGGGGCAGAGCCAGGGCGACACCACUGGCUGGGGCCAGCCUGCCAGCCAGGGCGACACCACCGGCUGGGGCCAGCCUGCCAGCCAGGGCGACACCACCGGCUGGGGCCAGCCUGCCAGUCAGGGCGACGCGACGGGCUGGGGCCAGCCUGCCAGUCAGGGCGACGCGACGGGCUGGGGCCAGCCGAGUGACAGUAGCUCCAACGCUCCUGGGGCAUCUCAGGGAGCGGGGGAGGGUGGGGGUACGGGAGAGUCGGGGUGGGGGGGCUCUGGAAACACUGCAAUAGGAACUGGAGGGAGCUCCCAGCCCGGGGGGCGGGCCGGGAGCAGCAGCAACAGCAGCAGCAGUAGUGGAGGGAGUGGCGGUGUCGGGGGCGGGGCUUUGCAGGACUCCGCCUCUCCGGCGGUUGCAAGCGGGGCGAAGGCCUGGGACAAUCAGACGGCGGAGGAGAAGAGCGCGGAGAGAGGGAGGGCGGAAUGGGGAGGAGCAGGGGAAGGCGGGAGGACGGCUGGCGUAGGAGGCGGAGUCACAGCAGAUGGGAGUGGCGGAGGCGGAGCACCGAACCAGAAGACGGACGGCUCCGGAGGCCCCGCCUCCCAGCCGUCGCCCAACGCUGAAGUGGCCUUAAAGAGCAUGCUGAGUCGCUCAGACCUGGACCCGCGGGUGCUGUCCAACGUGGGCUGGGGCCAGACCCAGAUCCGGCAGAACGUGGCCUGGGACAUGGAGGCCUCUGCCGCAGCCGCCGCUGCCGCAGGGGGAGGAGAAGGGGGCGGGGGAGGAGGAGGGAAGCUCAAAGACAAAAGCUCCUCGUCGUCCUCGUCCACCAUCACGACGCGCGGCUCCGGGUAUUCUGGGGCCAACGCGGGUCCGAAGACCACCGAGCCGCUGACUGGCGGAGGCAGCGGCUCGGGUCCCGGGCCCAAGAGGGACGGCUGGGACGGGGCCGGGGCCCACCAGCCCGGCCGGGGGCCCCACAUGGAGGCUGGGAACCGGAGGAAGGGCGGGUCGCCGCCGGAGGGGGGCAGCGAGGGGAACCCGGCCAAGAACGCCGGAGGCUGGGGGGGACUGGCCCCCGAGAGCCAGGGGAAACCCUGGGGGGGCGAGGAACCUCAAGAACGGAGGGACCACAGAGGAGGUGGAGGAGGCUGGAGAGAUGGUGGAGAACAGGGUAGAGGUGGGUGGGGAGGGCCUCCUCCAGAGAGCAAAGGAGCGGGAGGAUGGAAGGAUGGGCCUGGGGGUGGUGGUGGUGGUGGUGGUGGUGGUGGUGGGGGAGGAGGAGGGGGGGGAGGUGGGGGGAGAGAUUGGGGACAGCGGGACUCCAAACCAGGAGGGAUGUGGGGAGAGGGGCGUGGCGGCGGCAGGAUGCACUCUGACGAAGGCCCGUCCUGGGGGGACGACGGUGGGCCUCAGAGAGGAGGUUGGGGGGGAGGGGACGCUGGAGGAGGAGGAGGAGGAGGAGGUGGGGGGAGCAAGCCCCACCAGGAGUGGGGGGGUGGCAAGCCCCACGGCCCGCCAGCACAGACCCCAAACAGCCAGGUGGCCCCCAUGAAGGCCCCCAAUCAGCAGCACCAAUCACAAGGCCAGCAGCCCGCCAUGGCCGGGGGCUGGGGUGGACGUCCGGGCGCCGGCCCGCCUCCGCCCCCCAAGAGCCAGAACCAAAGCCCGGGCUGGACGUCGGGGCCGGCCCCCCGGGCGGCCGGGCCGGGGGCCGGGGGGGUGGACCCCGCGGAGUCCAGCGGGUGGGAGGAGCCGUCCCCCCAGUCCAUCAGCCGCAAGAUGGAGAUCGACGACGGGACGUCCGCCUGGGGCGACCCCCAGCGCUACAGCAACAAGAACGUCAACAUGUGGGACAAGAACAGUGGCUCUGGCGGCCAGGGGUCUGGGGGACCCGGUCCAGGGGGCCCGGGGGGGCACGGCCCGCAGGGCCCCUCCCCUCCCAACCCCCAGCAGCCCCCCAGACGCCAGCCCCCCAGCAGGGAGUCCGGCAACGGUGGAGUGGGUAUGUGGGGCAAAGGAGGCGGACAGCCGGAGGACGCCAAUGCGGGUGGCUGGGGUCAGAGUUCAUCAUCGUCGCCCUCAGCAGCGCCCGCUGGCUGGGGAGACCCUGAACCUGAGCCAGGGAAGCCGUCCGGUUGGGGGAACCCCUCCCCCAAUCCCGGCAAGCCAGGCCCCAAGUCAGGGGAGGGCUGGGGGUCAAAGGGCGAGGGGCCCGUGGCCGCCUCCCGCCACUCCAGCUGGGACGAGGAGGAGGAGGGCGGCGUCUGGAACAGCGGGGGGUCCCAGGGAGGCUGGGCCCACGGCCACGCCGGAGCCAGGGGCCACGUCAAGGGGGGCCGUGGCGAGAGCUGGGGUAAUCCGAUGUCACGGCAGUUCGCCAACAUGGGCCUCCUGGGUGACGAUCCAGGCGGCGACAAGAAAAUGGAUCCAGACAAGAGAGGAAUGAGUGACUACAAUGGAGAGAUGCGGAGAGGAGGAAGAGGAGGAGGAGGCUACCGCAUGCCAGGCUCUAAAGACAUGGCGGCUGGGGACAUGGGUCACUAUGGAGACAAGAUGAGUGGUCAUGGGGGGUACGGCGGUGGAGGAGGUGGGGGCGGUAUGCCUCCGUCACGAGGCAUGCACCAGCCCGGGGGCCAUCCCAUGACCCCCAACCAGGGUCUACGGGCCCCGGUGCCCCAUCAGUACAUGUCUGCCCAGGUCCCAGGGUCCAUGAUGAAGCAGAUGCCGUCGCCUGGCAACAGCCUUGGCGGGGGAGGUGGAGUGGGCGGGGUGGGUGGGGGGGGAGGAGGAGGAGGAGGAGGAGGAGGAGCAGGAGGACUGUUCCCCCCUCAGCUGUCCCCGCAGCAGUUGGCCAUGUUGAGCAACAUCUACCCUCACGUCCAGCAGUUUCACCUGGCGUGUCAACUCCUCCUGCAGCAGCAGCAACAGCAGCACCAGCAGCAACAGCAGCAGCUGUUGCAGAACCAGAGGAAGUUCUCCCAGCCCCUCCGCCAGCAGACCGACCCCCAGCAGUUGGCCAGGCUCAUGGCCGUCCUUCAGCAGCAGAGACAGCAGCAGGGUGGGGGGGGAGGAGGGGGGAGCUCCAAGCUGUCUCCCUCCCACCUGGGGGGAGGAGGCCUCCCCAAGCAGUCCAUGGACCCUCUGGGUCACCCCGGGGGCGUAGGGGUCUCCCUCUCCGACUUCCACGCUAAGACCCAGGCCAUGUACUCUGGUCUGGCGCCGGGGGGGAACCUUUCGGGCCUGGACCUGGGCCAGGGCGGGGGUCCGGGGAUGAAGGACCCAGGUGGGGGGCAGCAGUCUCGCUUCAAGUGGAUGAUGGAGGGCCACUCGCCCUCCUCCCCCUCACCGGACGCCAUCGCCGCGAUGCACAAGAACGGCCCCAUACCAAACCCCAUGAAGAACAGGGGAGGCUCCCCGUACUCCCAGUACGAGAUGAUGGGCCCCGAGGGCCUGGGCCUCCCUCCCCAGGGACCCAUGGACCACUGGCACCGCAGCCCCGGGACCAAGAUGCCCCACAAGCCGGGCCCCCCCAGUUGGCCCCCAGAGUUCCAGCCCGGCGUGCCCUGGAAGGGGAUCCCGAGCGCGGGGGACCCCGAGUCCGACCCCUUCAUGACCCCUGGCAGUGUGAUGAACCCCCCGGGCCCGCAGAGCCUGCAGGAUUCUGACCACCCGCUCCUCCGUGACAACACUGGGCCAAACUGCUCCCUCCCCACCUCGCUGCCUUCCUCCGGUGCCUGGCCUUACAGUGCCUCCGACGGCCCCCUGGCCAACGCCCACAGCUCAGCCAAGUACUCGGAGUACAAGCCCAGCUGGCCCCCAGAGCCCAUCGGACACAACAAGCUGUGGAAGACCAAUCGCAUCAGCUCUCAGCUGCCACGCCCGCCCCCAGGAUUAUCCAGUCAGAAGCAGGCUCAGCCCUCCCCCUGGGGCAGCGGAGGCCCCCGAUUGGCCAGGGGAUGGGGAGGGGGCGGAGGAGGGGGAGGAGCAAGCCAGGACUCCCGAUUCAGUCAAGGCUCGGCAUGGAGUGACGGCUUGGCCUCAAGAGGAAGCUGCUGGCUGUUGCUGAGCAACCUGACCCCUCAGAUCGACGGCUCCACGCUGCGGACCAUCUGCAUGCAGCACGGCCCCCUGCUCACCUUCCACCUGGGCCUGACGCAGGGCAGCGCGCUGGUCCGCUACAGCAGCCCCCAGGAGGCGGCCAAGGCCCAGGGCGCACUGCACAUGUGCGUUCUGGGAAACACCACCAUCCUGGCUGAGUUUGUGAGCGAGGAGGAGGUCGCUCGGUAUUUUGCACAUUCUCAGGCCGGUGGGGGCGACGGGGGGCCCGCCGGCUCCGCCCCCGGGGGCCCCCAGGGCUCGUCAGGACCGGGCCCCUCAGUGGCUAGCAGCGGGGGCAGCUCCCCGGGCAGCGAGCGGGGGCCGGCCACCCCUGGAGGAGGUGGUGGAGGUGGUGGUGGAGGAGGUGGAGGAGGUGGGGGGUCGGUUCUCUCCACUGGCUCCGGUUGGCAGAACCUGGACGGCAGCGGCAGCUCCUCAGAGGGGUCCGGGGCCCCGGGGCCCGGCCUGGGCGUGUUCUCCCAGUGGAGCACCAACGGGACCGCCGAGGGGGCGGGGCCCGGGGGGGCAGAGCCUGGGGGCCGGCCAGGGAUGUGGGGGGCCGUGACGGUGGGGUACCCCGGCGGUGGUGGUGGUGGCGGCGGUGGCGGAAGCAUGUGGGGGGCCCCGCAGAUGGAAGAGAGGCACCAAAUGGACAACCCGGCGGCGCUGUUGCCAGGCGACCUUCUGGGGGGCGGGGCAGACUCCAUCUGACUCCGCCCUGGUAUUUAAAUGUUUAGGUUUAGGAGACACGUUGUCACAGCAUACACUGGGAAACAUAUGUUCUUUCUAUAGCAUACACGACAACGGAAACACUUACUCUGUAUGCAUAUUAAUGUAAACACACACUUUGCGUACGCGUACAUGGUAUGCAAGUCAAUGUAGACAUGUUUAGCUGAAAUGUGAGAUAUGCUUACACACAUUCUCGUGGCCAGAUUUAAGCUAUUAUCUAAAUCCAUGCAGGGACUGUUAGAUGUGUGUAUGUGUGUGUGAAUGUGUGUUUGUGUGUGUGUAUAUAUGUAUAUAUAUGUGUAUAUAUGUGUGUGUAUAUAUAUCCUUUUUUUUUUCACAGAUGAAGAUUUCAACUGCUUUGACUUGAACCUGUAACCGAAUGAGUGGGGACCUGGUCUCAAAGGCCGGACCCCGAUACGGACUGCAACGUCCUCUGAUAUUAAGAAAAAAAAAAAAGUGGGGGGGGGGGGGGGGGGGGGAUCUUUUCAUACAGAUUUACAUACACGUGCACACACACCAAAUGCAGAGGCGCCCGGCGGCAAGACGCAGCCGCGGUGGGCGGGGUCACCAGCAUCCACGGAAGAGACAUGAAACUGACACGACGACGUGAGGUGAACUCGCCGUUUGUGUUUCCUUUUCAAAAGAAAGAAAAAAAAAAAAAAAACGGAGAUUAACUGCAUCUUACUGUGUACGUGGGUCGUCCGUUCUCCUUUUCGUUUGUACGUAUGGUUUUAAUUUUUUGGACAUUUUUUAAAAAGUGGAAAUAUUGGAAAAAUGUGUUUUUUUGUUUUGUUUUUCAAGAAGCUGACCUCUUACUGUUGUCUCUCGUAUUCUCUCUCAAUCACGUUUGUUACUGUUGCGAUAAUGAAAGUUUAAAUUGCUGGCGGUUCGAGGCCAUGGCGUUGUGUUUCUCCCCGUUUGUCGUCUGACGCACACACAGGCGGUGGUUGUUUUUCUUGUUUUUCGCGAGUGAGUUUGAGACCAAGUUUUGUGGAUCAGUCGUUUGUGUGACUGAGAUCAUUUCGACAUGCGGUUGACGUGUGCAUGUUAACACCCGGUCCUACGUGUGUGUGUGUGUGUGUGUGUGUGUGUGACGAUGGCUGCUUACUUUACAGAAGGUCUAUUACGAAAAAAACGUUUUUUGAGUGUACUCUGUAUACCGCUGUGUUCAACAAUUAUUGGCACUAAGGCUUUUUUCUCAUUUAAGUUGAGUGUUUUUUAGCGAAUUUUUUUAUUGUCCAAAAUGCAAUAAUAAAAAAAAGAUAAUUUUAUUGACAAACGAACUGAGGGCAUCUGCUUUUGAGAUAAAGGACAUGCCAAAUGUUAUCAAACUGUGUGGUGUGGUCGGGACGGGUGUGGCGCGUGUUUACAGACGCUCCAAUAGUUACCGUUUGUUUUUAUGUUCCGUUGUGUAUUGGUUUUAAAUUAAGGCAGGCUGUCACACUCCUGUCCAGUGUUUUUUCUUUUUUCCUUUUGAGAUUUUACAAAGAAGAAAUUUAUUUAAACAAAUGAGAACAAGAUUAAUAAUAAAGUUGAAAGUAUUGGCUUC